rnacentral:tRNA from 1 species
UCUUUCGUAGUGUAAUUGGUAGCACAAAAGCUUUUGGUGCUUUUAGUUUUGGUUCGAAUCCAGACGAAAGAA